rnacentral:rRNA from 1 species
CAAGACCUUGCGCUUUUGGAGCGGCCGAUGCCUGAUUAGCUUGUUGGUAAGGUAAAAGCUUACCAAGGCUUCGAUCAGUAGCUGGUCUGAGAGGACGACCAGCCACACUGGGACUGAGACACGGCCCAGACUCCUACGGGAGGCAGCAGUGGGGAAUUUUGGACAAUGGGGGCAACCCUGAUCCAGCCAUGCCGCGUGAGUGAAGAAGGCCUUCGGGUGUAAAGCUCUUUCAGCCGGAACGAAACGGUUACGGAUAACACCCGUGACUACUGACGGUACCGGAAGAAGAAGCACCGGCUAACUACGUGCCAGCAGCCGCGGUAAUACGUAGGGUGCGAGCGUUAAUCGGAAUUACUGGGCGUAAAGCGUGCGCAGGUGGUUUUGUAAGUCAGAUGUGAAAGCCCCGGGCUCAACCUGGGAACU